GGAAAACCGAAGCCUAUGCCUUCCUUCUUCCAGGAAUACGAAGCGGCCCUUGCCCCUGUAGGCUUCGUCCUUAGGUUCCCGUCAUGAAGGACAGUCAUGUGAGGAGAGACCAGAAGUGACUGCACAGAUCGGACCUCAGGCUACCCUACCCCUUAUCUGUGGGCCAGCCUGGAUCCUUCAGAUGAGAGAUUUUAAACAGAAGGCUAAUAAUUAUCCAGAAGAGACAGGAUGAGGCUUGGACAAAGGAGGUGGAGGGUAUCAAAAGAUAUUUAGAAGAUAAAGGAAGUCUGGACUUGGUGCUGUGGGUAUACCCUCCCUCAUGGCACACACCAGGUUAUUUUGAAGCAAAUCCUAGACGUCAUCAAACAGUUCAAAUUGCCCAAGUGUCUCCUACACACUUCUUUUUUCUUUUACAGUUUGUUUGAAUCUGGGUCCAAAUAAAGUCCACACAUUGCA